CAAUAGCGUAUUUUUUUGUUGUUGCAGUUAAAAAGCUCGUAGUUGUUUUUCUGGCCCACGGGCGCCGCCUUCGGGCUGGCAUCCCCGUGAGGCCAUCCGCAUGGGAACGUAGGUUGUUCUUUGCUGAUCGCUUACGGGAACAUGCAUUUUACUUUGAGGAAAUUAAAGUGUUUCAGGCAGGCUUUUGCUUGUAUACACCAGCAUGGAAUAAUGGAAUAGGACUUUUCCCAUUUUGUUGGUUAUUGGGUUAAGUAAUGAGAAAUAGAAACAGUUGGGGGUAUUCGUAUUCUACAGUCAGAGGUGAAAUUCUUGGAUUUGUAGAAGACGAACUAAAGCGAAAGCAUUUACCAAGGAUGUUUNCAUUAA
rnacentral:rRNA from 1 species